GGGGACGACCGGUUUCGACGGGAAGUACUUUUACAAACUGCAAGCCGAGUUUGAUUUACACUCGUUAAUCAGAAAUCAAAAAAAAUAAUUGCUGAUAACCGCGAUUUAGAUUUCGACUACGCUUAUUUAAGCUAAGUUGAAUGUCUACCGUACCCGUUUCUCAACCGAUACGGAUAGGCAUAAACCUGUUGAGAUGCAGCUUAAUCUUUUGAUUUAGAGAUUUAGUCUAAGAAAUAUAAAUCUUACUUUGAUUCAUCCUGCUAAUUGGUAAGGACCAAAGGAAAUUAUAAAAUUAGCUACGCUUGUAGGCGUUUGUUACUGGGCUUUUCGGACGAGGGUUCGACUCCCUCCGUCUCCACAC
rfam:Candidatus Woesebacteria bacterium RIFCSPLOWO2_01_FTLL_39_10 rifcsplowo2_01_scaffold_517, whole genome shotgun sequence.